CAGCAGCCGCGGUAAUACGGAGGGGGCUAGCGUUGUUCGGAAUUACUGGGCGUAAAGCGCACGUAGGCGGCUUGGUAAGUUAGAGGUGAAAGCCUGGAGCUCAACUCCAGAAUUGCCUUUAAGACUGCCGAGCUAGCAGGUGAGAGAGGUAAGUGGAAUUCCGAGUGUAGAGGUGAAAUUCGUAGAUAUUCAGAAGAACACCAGUGGCGAAGGCGGCUUACUGGCUCAUACUGGACGCUGAGGUGCGAAAGCGUGGGGAGCAAACAGGAUUAGAUACCCCCGUAGUCCCUGUCUCUUAUAC
rnacentral:rRNA from 1 species